CCUGGCUCAGGAUGAACGCUAGCUACAGGCUUAACACAUGCAAGUCGAGGGGCAUCAGGAAGAAAGCUUGCUUUCUUUGCUGGCGACCGGCGCACGGGUGAGUAACACGUAUCCAACCUGCCCUUUACUCGGGGAUAGCCUUUCGAAAGAAAGAUUAAUACCCGAUAGUAUAAUGAUUCCGCAUGGUUUCAUUAUUAAAGGAUUCCGGUAAAGGAUGGGGAUGCGUUCCAUUAGGUUGUUGGUGAGGUAACGGCUCACCAAGCCUUCGAUGGAUAGGGGUUCUGAGAGGAAGGUCCCCCACAUUGGAACUGAGACACGGUCCAAACUCCUACGGGAGGCAGCAGUGAGGAAUAUUGGUCAAUGGGCGCGAGCCUGAACCAGCCAAGUAGCGUGAAGGAUGACUGCCCUAUGGGUUGUAAACUUCUUUUAUAUUAGAAUAAAGUGCAGUAUGUAUACUGUUUUGUAUGUAUAAUAUGAAUAAGGAUCGGCUAACUCCGUGCCAGCAGCCGCGGUAAUACGGAGGAUCCGAGCGUUAUCCGGAUUUAUUGGGUUUAAAGGGAGCGUAGGUGGACUGGUAAGUCAGUUGUGAAAGUUUGCGGCUCAACCGUAAAAUUGCAGUUGAUACUGUCAGUCUUGAGUACAGUAGAGGUGGGCGGAAUUCGUGGUGUAGCGGUGAAAUGCUUAGAUAUCACGAAGAACUCCGAUUGCGAAGGCAGCUCACUGGACUGCAACUGACACUGAUGCUCGAAAGUGUGGGUAUCAAACAGGAUUAGAUACCCUGGUAGUCCACACAGUAAACGAUGAAUACUCGCUGUUUGCGAUAUACAGUAAGCGGCCAAGCGAAAGCAUUAAGUAUUCCACCUGGGGAGUACGCCGGCAACGGUGAAACUCAAAGGAAUUGACGGGGGCCCGCACAAGCGGAGGAACAUGUGGUUUAAUUCGAUGAUACGCGAGGAACCUUACCCGGGCUUAAAUUGCAGUGGAAUGAUGUGGAAACAUGUCAGUGAGCAAUCACCGCUGUGAAGGUGCUGCAUGGUUGUCGUCAGCUCGUGCCGUGAGGUGUCGGCUUAAGUGCCAUAACGAGCGCAACCCUUAUCUUUAGUUACUAACAGGUCAUGCUGAGGACUCUAGAGAGACUGCCGUCGUAAGAUGUGAGGAAGGUGGGGAUGACGUCAAAUCAGCACGGCCCUUACGUCCGGGGCUACACACGUGUUACAAUGGGGGGUACAGAAGGCAGCUACCUGGUGACAGGAUGCUAAUCCCAAAAGCCUCUCUCAGUUCGGAUCGAAGUCUGCAACCCGACUUCGUGAAGCUGGAUUCGCUAGUAAUCGCGCAUCAGCCACGGCGCGGUGAAUACGUUCCAGGGCCUUGUACACACCGCCC
rnacentral:rRNA from 1 species